CGCCUCUUGCAAUUAAAGUAUAAAAGGUCCUGCCUGCCCAGUGAUAUUAAUUAAACGGCCGCGGUAUUAUGACCGUGCAAAGGUAGCGUAAUCACCUGUCUUUUAAAUAAAGACCAGUAUGAAUGGCAAAACGAAAACCCACCUGUCUCUUUUAAUUAAUCAGUGAAAUUAAUCUUCCCGUGCAGAAACGGGAAUAUAUCCAUAAGACGAGAAGACCCUAUGGAGCUUUAAACUUUAAUUAAUUAUACAAUAAAUAAAUCAAAAGACAAAAAAUAUAAUAUAUAAUAUAUAUAAAAGUUUUCGGUUGGGGUGACCACGGAAUAAACAAAACUUCCGAGAUGAGUAUAAAUUAGAAAAACAUUUCAAAAUUUAAAAUAUUUAACAUAAUUGAUCCAAUAUUUGAUCAACGAACUAAGUUACCCUAGGGAUAACAGCGCAAUCCUCUCUAAAAGUUCAUAUCGACGAGUGGGUUUACGACCUCGAUGUUGGAUCAGGACACCCAAAUGGUGUAACCGCUAUUAAAGGUUCGUUUGUUCAACGAUUAAAGUCCU
rnacentral:rRNA from 1 species